rnacentral:rRNA from 1 species
GACGAACGCUGGCGGCGUGCCUAAUACAUGCAAGUAGAACGCUGAAGGAGGAGCUUGCUUCUCUGGAUGAGUUGCGAACGGGUGAGUAACGCGUAGGUAACCUGCCUGGUAGCGGGGGAUAACUAUUGGAAACGAUAGCUAAUACCGCAUAAUAGCAGUUGUUGCAUGACAACUGUUUGAAAGGUGCAAUUGCACCACUACCAGAUGGACCUGCGUUGUAUUAGCUAGUUGGUGGGGUAACGGCUCACCAAGGCGACGAUACAUAGCCGACCUGAGAGGGUGAUCGGCCACACUGGGACUGAGACACGGCCCAGACUCCUACGGGAGGCAGCAGUAGGGAAUCUUCGGCAAUGGACGGAAGUCUGACCGAGCAACGCCGCGUGAGUGAAGAAGGUUUUCGGAUCGUAAAGCUCGGUUGUAAGAGAAGAACGAGUGUGAGAGUGGAAAGUUCACACUGUGACGGUAUCUUACCAGAAAGGGACGGCUAACUACGUG